AACGAACGCUGGCGGCAUGCCUUACACAUGCAAGUCGAACGGCAGCACGGGUGCUUGCAGCUGGUGGCGAGUGGCGAACGGGUGAGUAAUACAUCGGUACCUGGCCUGUAGCGGGGGGUAGCCCUGCGAAAGCCGGAUUAAUUCCGCAUACGGACUUCGGGCGAAAGGGUGGGGCCUUCGGGGCUUGGGCGGUUGGGUUGGGUGAGGCCUCAUUAGCUCGUUGGGGGGGUAAAGGGCUACCCAGGCGGCGAUCGGGAUCUGGUCGGAGAGGGCGACAGGCGACCUGGGGGGUGAGCCGGGGCCAAUACGCCUGCGGUAGGCCGCAGUGUGGAAUGUUAGGCAAUGGGGGAGAGCCUGAUACAGCAAUGCGGCGUGUGUGACGACGGCGCUGGGGUUGUGAAGCCCUUUUGUCCGGAGAGAACUACUUGGCCCUGAUACGGUGGGUGAAUGACGGUACCGGGAGAAUAAGCACCGGCUAACUACGUG
rnacentral:rRNA from 1 species